CAGUUGUAAACAAAACAUAGUCCCUGGCCUUAGGAAACUCACAUACACAAACAGAUCCAGAACGUCCUGCCAGGCGGUGCUGCGUGCUGUAAAGAACCACAAAGCCGGACCACCCCGCGGAGUUGGCGCUGAGCCUGUUGGAAGCUGAGGCCACAUGGAGCGGAGCAGAGCUGAGCCAUGGCAGCCGGGGGUCCGAGGGCCUGCCUACUAGAAGCGGGGCUGCAGCAGCCCCUCCCAGGCAGCCACUGCCUGCAACCGCCCGAGGGACCCGGCUGAGCUCAGCCUGAACUGCUGACCAGUGAAUCGUGAACUGCUGAGCGCUGGGGUUUGUACUGCGGCCAAGGCUGAUCCAGCCUAGUUACUAGGAGAGAGAAUUUUCCUGGCAAAUUUCCCUUCGUCAUGGUAAUUAACACUACCUGUCCGACAGAUUAACUCCAAACUGCAGACUUAGCACACGAAGCUGCAUUUCUUGCUUAGGAAAAUCCAGUAUGGGGCUGGUGGCCCUCCUCUGUCUUGUAGCUGAGGGAAGGCCUGGCCUCAAGGUGGUCGUGGAAGGGAGAGACAGGGAUGGAGGCCCACCCACUCUCAAUUGCUUCAGCCUGGAAGUGACUGCCGUAUUUGUCACUUCUUUGCACACACCAUUGCUUGGAGCUAGUCAUGUGACUGUAAGGGAGGCCAGGGCACAUGGGGGAGCACGUGACAUAUUUGGUGAUGCCCACCUUUGCCACAAGGUGUAAGUAACGUCUUAAUUUGUGUGGUUAUCUGUUUAACCUGUCUCCUCUGUUAGACUGAGUCCUUGGGGGCAGGGACCGCAUCUGUGUCCCUCUUGCACGGUGCCUGGCCUACAGUCGGCAUUCAGUAUAGUUGCCCAGUUGCUAAGUGAAGGAGUCAUCGGGCCAGCCACGAUGCGAGCUUUUGUGUUUAGCUCCCAGUUGCAGAGAAAAUCCCCACUUAAAUCUCUAACGGUCCCUCCCUCUGGUAAUAUGUACGUAUUACACUUGACAUUGUGAAACUUCCCUACAAUGGUCACUGAAUGAACAUAAAUAGAACAGGAAAGUCCCCACCAGUUGCAGUCAGGUGUGUGGCUACCUGCACGGCUGGGCGAGAGUGGAUUUUGCAUUUUGACGUGGCAGUUUUCACGUGGCUGCAUCCAAGUGGCUUGUCAAGAGUUCCUGCUUCAAGGCAAAACCAGAGGAAGAAUCUGAGGCAUGGAGUGGUUAAGAAACUUGCCAAACGUCAAACAUCUAGCGAGUGCUGGAGCCAGGAUCCAAUUCCAGGCAGCCUGACUCCAGAGUCCCGAGUUCUUGAGCAGCACAACGCCACCCUCCUUCUUCCUCUGGUCCUCGAUCUCUCUAAUGUGACACCGGGGACUGCUGUGGCCAUUGCACCAGCAGUCACCUGGGACAACAGAGCAGAGAGACAGGAUGAGCGCAGGGAGCCUGGGUCCUUGCUAACAGCUCUGAGAGCUGAAUCGGUGAGCCCUGGAACCCACCCCACCUGCUGACUUCUUGCUUUGUGUGCAAUACAUUUCUUUCUUUUUCAAGCCACUUUGACUUGGAGUUUCAGUCACUUGCAGCCAAAAAGUACCCUGAGACACCACUGCUUCCAGAAGGAGCAGCGAGAGUGUGGGAGGAGCUGCUGGGGCUUCUGUUCUCAC